rnacentral:rRNA from 1 species
GCGAGUGAAGCGGCAAAAGCUCAAAUUUGAAAUCUGGCACUUUCAGUGUCCGAGUUGUAAUUUGAAGAAGGUAUCUUUGGGUCUGGCUCUUGUCUAUGUUUCUUGGAACAGAACGUCACAGAGGGUGAGAAUCCCGUGCGAUGAGAUGUCCCAGACCUAUGUAAAGUUCCUUCGAAGAGUCGAGUUGUUUGGGAAUGCAGCUCUAAGUGGGUGGUAAAUUCCAUCUAAAGCUAAAUAUUGGCGAGAGACCGAUAGCGAACAAGUACAGUGAUGGAAAGAUGAAAAGAACUUUGAAAAGAGAGUGAAAAAGUACGUGAAAUUGUUGAAAGGGAAGGGCUUGAGAUCAGACUUGGUAUUUUGUAUGUUACUCUCUCGGGGGUGGCCUCUACAGUUUACCGGGCCAGCAUCAGUUUGAGCGGUAGGAUAAGUGCAAAGAAAUGUGGCACUGCUUCGGUAGUGUGUUAUAGUCUUUGUCGAUACUGCCAGCUUAGACUGAGGACUGCGGCUUCGGCCUAGGAUGUUGGCAUAAUGAUCUUAAGUCGCCCGUCUUGAAACACGGACCAAGGAGUCUAACGUCUAUGCGAGUGUUUGGGUGUAAAACCCGUACGCGUAAUGAAAGUGAACGUAGGUAGGACCUCCUUUAGGAGUGCACUAUCGACCGAUCCUGAUGUCUUCGGAUGGAUUUGAGUAAGAGCAUAGCUGUUGGGACCCGAAAGAUGGUGAACUAUGCCUGAAUAGGGUGAAGCCAGAGGAAACUCUGGUGGAGGCUCGUAGCGGUUCUGACGUGCAAAUCGAUCGUCGAAUUUGGGUAUAGGGCGAAAGACUAAUCG